rnacentral:misc_RNA from 1 species
GAUGAAGGAACGCAGCGAAAUGCGAUAAGUAGUGUGAAUUGCAGAAUUCAGUGAAUCAUCGAAUCUUUGAACGCACAUUGCGCCCCUUGGUAUCCCGAGGGGCAUGCCUGUUCGAGCGUCAUUUCACCACUCAAGCCUGGCUUGGUGUUGGGCGACGUCCUCUUUGGGGACGCGCCUCGAAACGCUCGGCGGCGUGGCACCGGCUUUAAGCGUAGCAGAAUCUUUCGCUUUGGAAGUCGGGGCCCCGUCUGCCGGAAGACCUGCUCGCAAGGUUGACCUCGGAUCAGGCAGGGAUACCCGCUGAACUUAAGCAUAUCAAUAAGCGGAGGA